rnacentral:rRNA from 1 species
CAGAGGGUGCGAGCGUUGUCCGGAAUCACUGGGCGUAAAGGGCGCGUGGGUGGCGGCCCAAGUCCAUGGUGAAAGCUCGAUGCUCAACAUCGAGUCGGCCACGGAUACUGGGUUGCUCGAGCACUGUAGAGGCAGAUGGAAUUCCGGGUGUAGCGGUGGAAUGCGUAGAGAUCCGGAAGAACACCGGUGGCGAAGGCGGUCUGCUGGGCAGUAGCUGACACUGAGGCGCGACAGCGUGGGGAGCAAACAGGAUUAGAUACCCUGGUAGUCCACGCCGUAAACGAUGGGCACUAGAUGCUUGGGGGAGCGACCCCCUGAGUGUCGUCGCUAACGCAGUAAGUGCCCCGCCUGGGGAGUACGGCCGCAAGGCUG